CAGUCGCCACGGUAAUACGUAGGUGGCAAGCGUUGCCCGGAAUUAUUGGGCGUAAAGGGCUCGCAGGCGGUUUCUUAAGUCUGAUGUGAAAGCCCCCGGCUCAACCGGGGAGGGUCAUUGGAAACUGGGAAACUUGAGUGCAGAAGAGGAGAGUGGAAUUCCACGUGUAGCGGUGAAAUGCGUAGAGAUGUGGAGGAACACCAGUGGCGAAGGCGACUCUCUGGUCUGUAACUGACGCUGAGGAGCGAAAGCGUGGGGAGCGAACAGGAUUAGAUACCCCAGUAGUCCCUGUCUCUUAUAC
rnacentral:rRNA from 1 species